GACGAACGCUGGCGGCGUGCUUAACACAUGCAAGUCGAACGCUGAAACCAGAGCUUGCUUUGGUGGAUGAGUGGCGAACGGGUGAGUAACACGUGGGUGAUCUGCCCUACACUUUGGGAUAAGCCUGGGAAACUGGGUCUAAUACCGAAUAUUCACACCACCGUAGGGGUGGUGUGGAAAGCUUUAUGCGGUGUGGGAUGAGCCUGCGGCCUAUCAGCUUGUUGGUGGGGUAAUGGCCUCCCAAGGCGUCGACGGGUAGCCGGCUUGAGAGGGUGUACGGCCACAUUGGGACUGAGACACGGCCCAGACUCCUACGGGAGGCAGCAGUGGGGAAUAUUGCACAAUGGGCGCAAGCCUGAUGCAGCGACGCCGCGUGGGGGAUGACGGCCUUCGGGUUGUAAACUCCUUUCGCUAGGGACGAAGCCUUAUGGUGACGGUACCUGGAGAAGAAGCACCGGCUAACUACGUGCCAGCAGCCGCCGUAAAAC
rnacentral:rRNA from 1 species